rnacentral:pre_miRNA from 15 species
AUCCCCACCACCACCACGCCGCCGUCCUGGGCUCUUUUCACAUUGUGCUACUGUCUGAGCCCCUGCCAAGCAGUGCAAUGUCAAAAGGGCAUCGGGCAGGCGGUGCCGGCAGCGCCUGGCCCA